AAUCAACGCUGGCGGCGUGCCUCAGACAUGCAAGUCGAACGCGAAAGUCCCCUUCGGGGGACAAGUAGAGUGGCGCACGGGUGAGUAACACGUAGGUAAUCUACCUUCGGAUGGGGAAUAACAACCGGAAACGGUUGCUAAUACCGCAUAAUGCAGCGGCACCUAAUGGUGACAGUUGUUAAAGCGGGGGAUCGAAAGACCUCGCGUCUGAAGAGGAGCCUGCGGCGGAUUAGCUAGUUGGUAAGGUAACGGCUUACCAAGGCGACGAUCCGUAGCCGGCCUGAGAGGGCGGUCGGCCACACUGACACUGACAUACGGGUCAGACUCCUACGGGAGGCAGCAGUCGGGAAUUUUGGGCAAUGGGCGAAAGCCUGACCCAGCAACGCCGCGUGAAGGAUGAAAUCCCUCGGGAUGUAAACUUCGCAAGAACGGGAAGAAUAAGUAGGGGACAAUACCCCCUAUGAUGACGGUACCGUUUGUAAGCUCCGGCUAACUCCGUGCCAGCAGCCGCGGUAAUACGGGGGGAGCAAGCGUUGUUCGGAUUUACUGGGCGUAAAGGGCGCGUAGGCGGCCAGCACAAGUCAGUUGUGAAAUCUCCGAGCUUAACUCGGAAAGGUCAACUGAUACUGUGCGGCUAGAGUGCGGAAGGGGCAACUGGAAUUCUUGGUGUAGCGGUGAAAUGCGUAGAUAUCAAGAGGAACACCUGCGGCGAAGGCGGGUUGCUGGGCCGACACUGACGCUGAGGCGCGAAAGCUAGGGGAGCGAACGGGAUUAGAUACCCCGGUAGUCCUAGCCUUAAACGAUGAAUGCUUGGUGUCUGGGGUUAUAAAGUCCCCGGGUGCCGUCGCUAACGCUUAAG
rnacentral:rRNA from 1 species